rnacentral:misc_RNA from 1 species
GAGGACGCCGAAGGUGGGGCUAAUGACUGGGGUGAAGUCGUAACAAGGUAGCCGUACCGGAAGGUGCGGCUGGAUCACCUCCUAACAGGGAGACAACAAAAUGUAAAUAUUAAUUUUGUCACCUUAGGUCGAUCGGUAUCUCAGAUUCUUAUUUUUUUAAGAAUUUCAGUUUCUAAGUUUUUUCUAGGUCACACCCAUCACUUUUCCUGGGCCAUUAGCUCAGGUGGUUAGAGCGCACCCCUGAUAAGGGUGAGGUCCCUGGUUCAAGUCCAGGAUGGCCCAUAUCUCUAUGUUGGGGGUAUAGCUCAGUUGGUAGAGCGCCUGCUUUGCAAGCAGGAUGUCAGCGGUUCGAGUCCGCUUACCUCCACUGAAUACCACCUCUUACAUAUAUUUAAAGAGGGAAAUUGUUUUGAGUCGUGUCCUAAUUUGCUCUGAGCGAAUCUAGCUUCCUAUUUUAUUUUAUAAAUAAGAUGCUGGACUCAUUGAAUUUAUUUCAUUGUUUUCAGAGAACCUUGACAACUGCAUAGAUUAUUUUUGAAGACAAUAAGCAUCUUUAAUGAUGCAGAUUUAUUAUUUGUGCGAAUGCAUUAAAUAACAAUUCUAUUAAGCUGAUGCUUCAAUUAUUGAAGUUAUUGGUCAAGCUACAAAGGGCUCACGGAGGAUACCUAGGCACACAGAGGC